CUCGUAGGCGGCCAUGUAAGUCGAAUGUUAAAGACCCAGGCUCAACUUGGGGAAUGCGUUCGAUACUGCUUGGCUAGAGAGUGGGAGAGGAAAGUGGAAUUCCUGGUGUAGCGGUGAAAUGCAUAGAUAUCAGGAAGAACACCAGUGGCGAAGGCGGCUUUCUGGACCAUUUCUGACGCUGAGGAGCGAAAGCCAGGGGAGCGAACG
rnacentral:rRNA from 1 species